rfam:Daucus carota subsp. sativus cultivar DH1 chromosome 5, whole genome shotgun sequence.
GCGAUGAUGAAGAAGCAUAAUAGUUAAUUAUCCAACACUUGGACUGAGAAAUUUGUUUUCGAUUGAUGUCUCAACUUUAUGCUGAAUCGUU